rnacentral:lncRNA from 1 species
UAUUCCAGAAAAAAAUCACUUGAAUAUAGUUUAACAUUUGUGGCAUUAUAGAUGUGAGAAUCAGUUUGUUUCUCAAAACUGUUUUCUUUCUAUUAAGCCCCAAUUUGUCUCAAAGAUAUUCUUUUAAUUGCUAAAUUUACGCAGCCAAUGUGCGGGGAGCUGCCCGUGAGAACGGGGUCCUUUGUUCGAAGGACACAGCUCUGGGAGCUGCCUCAGUCCUUGAGGGUUUGCUUGCAAACAUAGCUCUCUGUCCCGCCACCCCAGAGAUUAGGCGCUUAUUUACUGCAGACACCUGGAGUUCGGUGCAAACUUCUCAGCACAGGGAAAUGUUAUCUGGUGUAAGAAAUAAUAACAGGGUGCCAUUCCCAUGCUCUCAAGAUUUCUUGUGACUUUUUGUAAGAUGUAUAGGACAACCAAGAAAAAAUGUCAACUGUCUUGUCUUUCUCACGCUUUUCGUAUAAAUAUAAGAUGCUGAAUAAAGUUGGUGUCAGACUGCGUCCCUUCGUGGAGACGUGUCUGAACCUCUCGACCCCAUCUUUGUUGUAGUCUCUUGCUUUAGUUUCUUUCUUAGCCCCGCCGUGCACGUUCUCGGGACCUGAUCGACUUUGCCAGCUGGCACCGGCACCAAUGCAUCCACUUUCAGAGCAUUUUUGAGAGUUGGUGAAUCUCAGAUUUUCACGUUGCGUGGAAACUCCCAGGGAGAGUACUGCGGGGUCACCAGGCAUGAGUUGCUGGAGGAAGCCGGGAGACAAGGCGUGCCUUCGCACAGUGGGACGGGCCAACUGUUGUGGUCUGGCUGGAGCUCUGGGUCGGGAUGCCGGCCUGGUAGGUGGCUGCUUGCCGAGCCAACGUGAAGAGCGGUGUCAUCAUGUCUGCCCUGUCACACGGAGAUCCAGCGUGAGAUCGGCAUCAGCAACCCGCCGCACCUGCUGAAGCUGCGCCUGGCAAUCCAGGAGAUCAUGUCCCUGACCGGCCCCUCCGCCCCUCGCACGUCCAGGUCCAGAACGGUGCACCUCCCUCCUUCCGUAGGGAGAGUUCGCCACCCCCCCUCCCCGUUUGUGUCGCUUGCGGGGUUUUCUAUACAGAUGUCCACUGUUCCAGCUUA